UACGUAGGGGGCAAGCGUUGUCCGGAUUUAUUGGGCGUAAAGAGCGUGUAGGCGGUUUGGUAGGUCCGUUGUGAAAACUCGAGGCUCAACCUCGAGACGCCGGCGGAAACCAUCAGGCUAGAGUCCGGAAGAGGAGAGUGGAAUUCCUGGUGUAGCGGUGAAAUGCGCAGAUAUCAGGAGGAACACCGAUGGCGAAGGCAGGUCUCUGGGCCAUUACUGACACUGAGAAGCGAAAGCAUGGGGAGCGAACAGG
rnacentral:rRNA from 1 species